rnacentral:rRNA from 1 species
UACGUAGGGUGCGAGCGUUGUCCGGAAUUAUUGGGCGUAAAGAGCGCGUAGGCGGUCCGAUAAGUCGGCUGUGAAAGUCAGGGGCUCAACCCUUGAAAGCCGGCCGAUACUGUCGGACUAGAGUCCGGAAGAGGCAAGUGGAAUUCCCGGUGUAGCGGUGAAAUGCGCAGAUAUCGGGAGGAACACCAGUGGCGAAGGCGACUUCCUGGCCUGUUCUUGACGCUGAGGCGCGAAAGCUAGGGGAGCAAACGGG